rnacentral:rRNA from 1 species
UGUGGGAAGGCCCAGACAGCCAGGAUGUUGGCUUAGAAGCAGCCAUCAUUUAAAGAAAGCGUAAUAGCUCACUGGUCGAGUCGGCCUGCGCGGAAGAUGUAACGGGGCUAAACCAUGCACCGAAGCUGCGGCAGCGACGCUGAUGCGUUGUUGGGUAGGGGAGCGUUCUGUAAGCCUGUGAAGGUGUGCUGUGAGGCAUGCUGGAGGUAUCAGAAGUGCGAAUGCUGACAUAAGUAACGAUAAAGCGGGUGAAAAGCCCGCUCGCCGGAAGACCAAGGGUUCCUGUCCAACGUUAAUCGGGGCAGGGUGAGUCGACCCCUAAGGCGAGGCCGAAAGGCGUAGUCGAUGGGAAACAGGUUAAUAUUCCUGUACUUGGUGUUACUGCGAAGGGGGGACGGAGAAGGCUAUGUUGGCCGGGCGACGGUUGUCCCGGUUUAAGCGUGUAGGCUGGUUUUCCAGGCAAAUCCGGAAAAUCAAGGCUGAGGCGUGAUGACGAGGCACUACGGUGCUGAAGCAACAAAUGCCCUGCUUCCAGGAAAAGCCUCUAAGCAUCAGGUAACAUCAAAUCGUACCCCAAACCGACACAGGUGGUCAGGUAGAGAAUACCAAGGCGCUUGAGAGAACUCGGGUGAAGGAACUAGGCAAAAUGGUGCCGUAACUUCGGGAGAAGGCACGCUGAUAUGUAGGUGAAGUCCCUCGCGGAUGGAGCUGAAAUCAGUCGAAGAUACCAGCUGGCUGCAACUGUUUAUUAAAAACACAGCACUGUGCAAACACGAAAGUGGACGUAUACGGUGUGACGCCUGCCCGGUGCCGGAAGGUUAAUUGAUGGGGUCAGCGCAAGCGAAGCUCUUGAUCGAAGCCCCGGUAAACGGCGGCCGUAACUAUAACGGUCCUAAGGUAGCGAAAUUCCUUGUCGGGUAAGUUCCGACCUGCACGAAUGGCGUAAUGAUGGCCAGGCUGUCUCCACCCGAGACUCAGUGAAAUUGAACUCGCUGUGAAGAUGCAGUGUACCCGCGGCAAGACGGAAAGACCCCGUGAACCUUUACUAUAGCUUGACACUGAACAUUGAGCCUUGAUGUGUAGGAUAGGUGGGAGGCUUAGAAGUGUGGACGCCAGUCUGCAUGGAGCCGACCUUGAAAUACCACCCUUUAAUGUUUGAUGUUCUAACGUUGACCCGUAAUCCGGGUUGCGGACAGUGUCUGGUGGGUAGUUUGACUGGGGCGGUCUCCUCCUAAAGAGUAACGGAGGAGCACGAAGGUUGGCUAAUCCUGGUCGGACAUCAGGAGGUUAGUGCAAUGGCAUAAGCCAGCUUGACUGCGAGCGUGACGGCGCGAGCAGGUGCGAAAGCAGGUCAUAGUGAUCCGGUGGUUCUGAAUGGAAGGGCCAUCGCUCAACGGAUAAAAGGUACUCCGGGGAUAACAGGCUGAUACCGCCCAAGAGUUCAUAUCGACGGCGGUGUUUGGCACCUCGAUGUCGGCUCAUCACAUCCUGGGGCUGAAGUAGGUCCCAAGGGUAUGGCUGUUCGCCAUUUAAAGUGGUACGCGAGCUGGGUUUAGAACGUCGUGAGACAGUUCGGUCCCUAUCUGCCGUGGGCGCUGGAGAACUGAGGGGGGCUGCUCCUAGUACGAGAGGACCGGAGUGGACGCAUCACUGGUGUUCGGGUUGUCAUGCCAAUGGCACUGCCCGGUAGCUAAAUGCGGAAGAGAUAAGUGCUGAAAGCAUCUAAGCACGAAACUUGCC